rnacentral:rRNA from 1 species
CUCAGGUGGACGGGGUGAAUAUCCCAAGGCGCGUGAGAGAACCCUGGUUAAGGAACUCGCAAAUUGACACCGUAACUUCGGGAGAAGGUGUGCCGCUGGCGGUUAGUGACUUCGCGUCACGAAGCUGUUGGUGGUCGCAGUGAAAUGGCGGUUGUGACUGUUUACUAAAAACACAGGACUCUGCGAAGUCGUAAGACGACGUAUAGGGUCUGAUGCCUGCCCGGUGCUGGAAGGUUAAGGGGAUAUGUCAGAGCAAUCGAAGCAUUGAACCGAAGCCCCAGUAAACGGCGGCCGUAACAAUAACGGUCCUAAGGUAGCGAAAUUCCUUGUCGGGUAAGUUCCGACCUGCACGAGGGCAUAACAACAUCCGCACUGUCUCGACCAGGGACUCAGCGAAAUUACAUUGGGGGUGAAGAUGCCCUCUACCCGCGGAAAGACGGAAAGACCCCAUGAACCUUUACUGCAACUUGGCAGUGAUUUUCGGGUUGUUCUGCGUAGGAUAGGUGGGAGGCUUUGAAGUCGGGCUUCCGGGUUCGACAGAGCCAACGCUGAAAUACCACCCUGAAUAAUCUGGAAAUCUAACCUGCGCCCAUGAUCUGGGCGAGGGACACUGCCUGGUGGGCAGUUUGACUGGGGCGGUCGCCUCCUAAAUUGUAACGGAGGCGUGCGACGGUUCCCUCAGGCUGAUUGGAAACCAGCCGUAGAGUGCAGACGCAUAAGGGAGCUUUACUGCGAGACUGACAAGUCGAACAGUUGCGAAAGCAGGUGUUAGUGAUCCGGUGGUACCACAUGGAAGGGCCAUCGCUCAUCGGAUAAAAGGUACUCUGGGGAUAACAGGCUGAUCGCGCCUGAGAGUUCACAUCGGCGGCGCGGUUUGGCACCUCGAUGUCGGCUCAUCGCAUCCUGGGGCUGGAGCAGGUCCCAAGGGUUUGGCUGUUCGCCAAUUAAAGCGGUACGCGAGCUGGGUUUAAAACGUCGUGAGACAGUUUGGUCCCUAUCUUCCGUGGGCGCAAGACACUUGAGAGGAGCUAUCCAUAGUACGAGAGGACCUGGAUGGACGAACCUCUGGUGCUCCGGUUGUCACGCCAGUGGCAUAGCCGGGUAGCCAUGUUCGGAACAGAUAACCGCUGAAGGCAUAUAAGCGGGAAGCUGGCCUCAAGACUAGGUGUCCCUGACGCAAGUCACUAAAGGCCCCUCGAAGACUACGAGGUUGAUAGGCUAGGUGUGGAAGCACAGCGAUGUGCGGAGCUAACUAGUACUAAUAGGCCGUGCGACUUGACCUC